CUUGUAGACUGGAGUCACGUCUGCUCACCUCCAGCCAACUGGGACCUCCCUGGGGACAUGAAGACACAAUGACCCCAGUUUUCACUUGUGAAAGACUUCAGAAAUAACUACUUAGGAAGCCAAUGUGAUGCAUAGUUUCCCAUAUGUGCAAUGACACUGAUGUUGUUCCUGUGUCAUGGAAACACUCAGAUUAUUUUAAAAAAAAUGUAAUUGAUCUUCUGGGAAGCAUCAGUUCAGAAUAUUUACAUUCUACGAUAGCUGAGUGGAAACUCGUGAAAGCCGUAUGUAUAUUUUCUGAUCUUAUAUUUCACAGCCACUUUCAGAUAUACUGACAAGUUCCAAUAGGACUCCAAUGAAAUGGUGAGAGUGGCAUUUUUAAUUAGGGUUUGGAUGAGUGUAUAUAUGUAUCUAUUGGUAUGAAAAAUGGCCCUGCCUGCUUCCUAAUCCUGCAAAAUCAUGGUGAUUUUCUACCUUUUGAUUUUUGAGCAAUGCUUUAUAUGGUCUCAAUUCUAUGUGCAAUGUUUGAAAGCUUUUCAGGAACACAUCUUUUCCGCCCAGAUGAAAUUGACCUUAUUUGUUACAGAAGCUGAGUUGUGGACUCUGAAAUUAAUGUUGACAAGAUUUUAAAAGAUAACUAUUAGUCUGGCAUGCAUUUGGGAAAAUGAUUGGAGGAGUGCUGGAAUCUCAAAAAGUUAGUUCUCAUACAAUUAUUUUUCUGCUGGCUAUGUCUUUCCCCUGCUGUUCAUUUCAUAUUAAGAAAAAAAAAAAAAAGCUGUUCAUUGUAACAGGUCAAAUCUGAGAUGGACUCCAAGGUUCCCUUGUGUUAUGAACUCAAAUUCAAGGUUUGUUUAUUUACUGCCAAAUCACAAUAAAAAGUUGAAUGCAGAGUGGUGUGUCAGAAGUGCUGGUAUGUUCAACCCAAUUAUUUUAUCUUCUGUGGUUUUCUUGCCUCACUCAUUCAAAGGUUAAGUAUUUACAGUGUAAAAGACGCACUUGAAAGUGAUGUUGGAAAUUAGAUUCUUCUGAAAAUGACUUUGUGCUUUCCCCCUAGAUCUAAGAAUAGAAUUUCUCCCCUCAGAUUACUGGUAUUUUCACUGUGGUCCUCUGUAAGAUGAAUCCAGGAUCUCUAUUAAAAAUAUGAAAUUAGAGAAAUGAUCUCUUGAUUAUAGCUCACAGCAAGAAUAUAGAGAUUGAGGUUCACAUCCAGGGCCUGACAAGCUAUAGACACUUAUAAAGGCAUUUAUAUAAACAUGGAAUGAUAGAAUCACAGAACACACACCCUGAGUUGGAAGGGACACACAAGGAUCAUGGAGUCUAGCUCCUGGCUCUGCACAGGACCACCACUGAAAUCCUACAUCUGAAAGUGUUGUCCAGUUCCAGCAGGCUUGGUGCCUGUUCUAUGUGUGACAACCCUCUGGUGGAGAACCACUCCCUAACCCCCAACCUGACCCUCCCCUGAUGCAGCUUCAUGCUGUUCCAUUGGAUCUUGACACUGUCACCAGAGAGCAGAGGUCAGUGCUGCCCCUCUCCACUCCCUGUGAGGGGCUGUAGGCCACCAUGAGGUCUCACCUCAGCCCCCUCUGCUCUGCGCAUCUCUUAAUGUGGAUCAGCUAUAUUUUCUGGCUUUGCUUACUGUAUAGUAUCACUUGGGUCAAGAAGUUUCUGGGAUGUAUUAUAAUUACAAUUAACAGGUAUAUUCCAUUCAACAAGAUAUCUUUCCUAACUAAAGCUAAUUAAAAACAGUAAAUUGCCACAAAAGAAGCUAUGAUUAAAACCAAUCUUUUCCUAUCAAAAUGCUCUGCCAAAGAUUUCUCAAUAGAUUUAAAAAAAAAAAGAAAAAGAAAAAGAAAAGCAAGACUAAAAUCGACUCCCCCUGAGUAUCAAUUUGAUAAAAAGAAUUAUUUUAUAGGGAGGAAAUUGCCAAUUUAAAACUCAUCUUUCUCUUUUUAAAUGGAAAUAAUUUCUGCAUAUCCCUCUAAUGGAUAUAAAAAUAAAAAAAGUCAAUAGCCAGUUCUCUCUUCUUUAUGAAGAAGGCAGGUAGGGCAUCAUGCACUUGCUAGCCCCAGUAAAUACCAGUAAAUACUUUAUUUAAGGAUAGUAGAAAUCAUUUCAAAAAUAACUGUGCAUGCAGUCAGAAUACAAAAUUCAACUCUUUCUUUCACACAUUCAGUAAGUCCUGAUAUAUACUAGAUCUUUUAUAAGUGGUAUUUUAAACAUGGCUAUAUAUAUCAUAAUCAGCAUGCCUGACACCACACUAUUUUGUAAAGAGGUCAUUUUUAGUUUCUGGAUGGUUUUAAAACUAUUAAUUUUUUAUUUUUUUUCCCCAAACUGUCUUGGUUAGAUUUCUUAUAAUACUCUCAGUACAUGACUACUCCUCAUUGUAUGUCUUCUUUUUUUUUUUUUUUAGGUAAGCAUAUAAAACAGAGCCAGUCGCCUAUAUGGCAGCAAUCUUUAAAGUAGGAAAUGAUUUCAGAAUAUUUCAGAAUACUUUUUGCUCCGUGCUUUUCCACUAUUUCUCUUUAAUGUUGUUCUGUUCUUCUUAGGCUGUUUUAUCAUGCAAACCCGAGCUGCAAAACAUGCAGAUAAAAAUGUCAUUCAAACAAAUGCCAACAUCUCUGGAAAUAUGUCUGUAUCAGAAUCUGCAGCAUUGUUAUGAUGCACCAUAGCCAGAAGAACAAAUUGAAUUUUGGCACGCAAAGAAGACUACAAAUGUAGCCCCCUCUGCUUUUAUAAUUCCCACAUUAAAUAUGAAUGCAGAAUGUGUCUUCUAAACUGAAGAAUGUUCCCAGUUCUAAUGUAUUGUCUCAUAUCUUCAGGGCAAAUGUUAUUAAAAAAAAAAAAAAAAAGAGAGAUGAUCAGUAGGAAAUGUGGCUUAACAUUGUAAUUCUUUUCUCAGAUUAUCACAGGAAAAAAAUCGUAUAUCUGGCCUUAUGCUUUUGGAUAGGAUGUAAUUUAUGAUAAAUCAUAUAUUUGAUGAAUUUUUCCUUAUAAGUGUUACUGGGGAAACAAGUAAAAAAAAAAAAAAGCAAAUGUUGGAAAAAUCUAGAAAAGUUUAUUUGACAAAUUACAGCUAAUUCUGUUAUACCAGGACCUGAUUUCUAUGACUAAUUUGGUUUGGGGAAGAUGGAAAAGGGGAUAUUUCAGUCUUUGUUUUUCUUUUUGUUGAAGGAAAGGGUGAGGCUUUUUUCCCCUUAUGGAGGGAGAGAAAUAUGAAAAAUUAUUUUUUGAUCUUUUAAAAAAAUUUUUGCAUAGAUAGAAAUGAGUUGGAAGUCAAGAUGAGUUCCAGAAAGCAAUCUCCCUGGAUUAGGGGUUUAGGCAAAGUUGUUCUGUGCUGGUCAAGAAGAAAUGUGAAGCAUAUUACAAAGAUACGCAUAUCACACUGAGAGAUGGUUUAAAGAAAUGUGGGUGGAAUAUUGCAAGAGUACUGUCAUGAUGCUUUCAAUUCUUUAGCAGAAGGGGAAGAAGACUGGGUGUCAUGCUUGAGGCCUUUUCUCAUUAAAGAGUUGCUCUAGUCCUUUAAUCAUCUUCACGACCCUUUGCUGGAUUCUCUCCAGUAAAUCCACAUUUCUCUUGUACUGGGGAGCCCAGAAUUGGACCCAGUAAACUACAUGUGCCCUUACUAAUGCUGAGUAUAAAAAGGCAGCACAACCCUCUGGGGUAUUCAUAGCUCUUAAUUUUGAGUCAUCUGCAAACUUCUUGCAGUACAUUCUGUCCCAUCAUCAGUAUAAUUAAGGAAGACAUUAAAUAGGAUUGACCCCAGUGCUCACUCUCUGACACUUCCAGCUUGAAAUCCCAAAAUAAUCACAAAUCCUACUUUCAUGGUCUGUAUGCAUACUGAAAAUCAAGUUCAAGUGAACUUUUGUCCUUCUGCUCCACAAGAGGUUUCUGGUGUCCCUAAGCUCACCUUAGGAGACCUGCAUUACACUUUGACAGGUGUACCAUCCCAGUGAAACUCCACUCCUGACACUGUCCUGGGAGUGAGGUACACUGCUGUCUGCUCUCCAGCUUUGUACCAUGGAUCAUCACACGCUGUGUCCUGUCAUUCAGACAGUUUUCAAUCCAUAUCACUGUUUGCUCAUCCAGCCCUUACUCCUCUGUGAGCAUCCUACGGGAGACAGUGCUGAAACCCAUAGACAGUAUUCAGUUCUCAUCUCAGCUUAGCUCAGCUAUCAGUGCAUUCACUUAAUCACAGAAGAUUAUCAGGUUGAUCAAGCAUGGCUACUCCCUUGUGAAUUCAUACUAUUUCUGAUCUUUUUCUUGUCCUUCAUGUAUAUGGAAACAGUUUGCAGAUUUAUUUUUCUGUCACCUUCCCAGGGAUGGAGGUGAUGAUGACUAGUCAGUAGUUUCCUGGGUCCUCCUUCUUUCCAUUUUGGAGACAGGAGCAACUUUUUGCAAGUCCGCAGGUACCUCUCCCAAAUGCCAUGGUUGUUCAACGAUUAUGAAUGUGGCUUUGAUUUUGAUUAAAUUAACAUUUAAAGAGCUAGAAUGCAAAUUACAUACUAUCUGUUGUUAAUUAAGUCAGUUAUUUAAGCCAGUUGAAUGGAAUAUGUAUAUAGAUAAAUAUAUAUAAAUAGAUAUAUUUUUAUAUCUAUAUUUUAUAUAAAAAAUAUGUAUAAAUGGAUAAAAGUCAAUUAACUGACACAAUGUAAAAGAGAACAAAGAUGUUCCCGAGACCAUAGAUCAUUUGAACAGUAAAACUAUGAAUUUAGAUAGUAAUUUAUUUCCAGACACUGGGUAAAAGCAAAAAAAGCUUGACAGUCUAUUUACUGUUUGGGCAAAAAUAUUCCCUCUUAUAAAUGUCCAAAGCAUGAGAAAGUAGGCAUUGAUUAAUUAGGUUAGGUUGGACUCGAUGAUCUUUAAGGUCUUUUCCAACCUGAGCAAUUCUAUGAUAGACAGUAAAACCCAAAACCUCCCUCUGGACUGAGAUGAGGAUUAAGAAUCUGCUGGGAAAAAGAGGAAUACUAAAUUUGAAUAGAUCACCUGAAGGACAUUCCAUACAAAGGAAUUAAGGUUGUCUUCUUCAAAAUGCGCCCUGUGACAAAUCUGGGUGGAGAAAGCUUUACAAGAGAAACACAGUCACCAGGACGAAGUCUAAGAAACAUCAGCUAGCUAAUUAAAUGUAUGCCACAGUGGAAGAGAUACUGUAAAAGCUCAGUGCCAGGUAAACACUGACUUAUUCAUUUUAAAGAUGUGAUGGGCAUUAAAAGUGAAGGUUCUGGAACACUGUAGAAGAGUUUGACUUCCAAUCUACGGGUCCAGAAUUUCUAAAGGAUGACAGGCUCUAGCUUCAUUUAUGCAAGUUCUGGUUUGGGGCUUAAGAAGGGAGGUAGGUCCCAUCUAGUUGGGAACAUAUUUAAACUACAUGAGUGUUCAGGGAGCUUAUGAUAACUCUCAUUAAAAUUUCUGUUGAGCUAGUAUAAAAUCAAAACUGAACCACACACAAACAAUGGAAACUUACUGAAGUGACCUGAGAGAAUACUUUUUUUUUUUUUUCACGUAAGUAAGAAAGAGGAAGUGGAGGAUUUCUCCCUACCCCCUUCAUCUGCUGCAUUCUCUAUCAAACAGUUUGGGCUCUUUCCUUUAACAGCUCAGUAAGAUCACACCUUGGGAAACCAGGAAAAGCACAGGGGUGGUGGAAGAAGGGAAGUGGUGUGGAACCUUUGCUAAACAUCACAAAUUCCCAUGUUCACAUUUCUCCCAGUGGCCAAGCUGAAUGCUAAGUGCCUAUGAAGAGGACCAUAUACACAAGAAUACUUCUUUUGCAUCUCACUAUGUAUCUUGAAUAAGGAGAUAAGAUGAAUGAUUGGAAAGUAGCCCUCAAAGUUACUUUCAAAAUUCUCUGUCUGCAAUAUAAUGCAAUUAAUCUCUCAUCUUCCACUCAGAUCUAGAAUCUCCACAAUGACGUAACAAGGCAAUGUGCUUUGAUGGCCAGUGUUUGCUCUCUGAGGUUAAGGUUGCUGACAAGCAUCUGUUCAAUGUUGCUAGUAAAUGCAGGAGGUCAGAUAGUUAAGCUUUGAAAAGGAAAUGUACUUCCUCUCAAACAGAGUGUAUAACAGUGCACAAGAAGAAUCCUAAUAUUGGUCCUUUCCUUGUGGCUUUAACUCACUCAGGA
ensembl:lncRNA